AUAGGAGUUAUGGAAAUGCUUGGUUGGGGUUGGGGGAGGGGGUGGUCCUGCUGUUUUGAAUGUAUUUCCCUGAAAUUGGGCCCAGUGGCCCCAUCAGUUUCUCGGGAUGUUCUGUUAUUUGUGGCUGCUCUUUGUCAGUGGAUGUAGUAGUUGCAUUCCCUUUCUACAUGAGGAUGAUAAACCAAAGACCUUAAAUGUGUUUGUUCUUUUGGCUGGGGGGGGGGAGGCCUGAGGAAGGGAAAGGGGAAGCAGACACUGUGUUUUUUGUUUGUUUGCUUGUUUGUUUUCACGUGAAUGGGAUGGGGAGGGAGAUGCUGUGUCUUUUUCUCGCCCCUCAUAGAAAGAGAAACAAUUAGUACGUCUUGGUGAACUCCGCGGCUCAGUGGGAAGACCUUGUAUUUCCCCACAGGCAUUGUGGAUGUCCGUCCAUUGAUGGCUGUACUGCUGAUUCCUCCACUGUGGAGCACCCAGCGAUGAGCCAAGUCCAUCCUCGGCUGGGGCCACUCGUCAGCGUAAGGGCCUUGAUCUCUGCAGCAUGGUGGUGCAGUUGGGUCAGUGAUUAGUGAGCUGGGUCUGGAAUGAGGAAGAGGAGACCUCAGAUACUGUGUUGCCCC